rnacentral:rRNA from 1 species
UUAAAGUCUAACCUGCCCACUGAAAUUUUUAAAUGGCCGCAGUAUUCUAACUGUGCAAAGGUAGCAUAAUCAUUAGUCUUUUAAUUGAAGGCUGGAAUGAAUGGUUGGACGAGAUAUUAACUGUUUCAUUUAAAUUUUUUAUAAAAUUUUAUUUUUUAGUCAAAAAGCUAAAAUAAAUUUAAAAGACGAGAAGACCCUAUAAAUCUUUAUAUUUUAUUUAUUUUAAUUAUAAAGAUUAUUUUUAUUAUAAUAAAUUAAAAUAUUUUAUUGGGGUGAUAUUAAAAUUUAAAAAACUUUUAAUUUAAAAAACCAUUAAUUUAUGAAUAAUUGAUCCAUUAAUAAUGAUUAAAAAUUUAAGUUACUUUAGGGAUAACAGCGUAAUUUUUUUGGAGAGUUCAUAUCGAUAAAAAAGAUUGCGACCUCGAUGUUGGAUUAAGAUAUAAUUUUGGGUGUAGCCGUUCAAAUUUUAAGUCUGUUCGACUUUUAAAUUCUUACAUGAUCUGAGUUCAAACCGGCGUAAGCCAGGUUGGUUUCUAUCUUUAAAAAUUUAUUAUAUUUUAGUACGAAAGGACCAAAUAUAAAAAUAAUUAUAUUUUAAAUAAGAAUAUUAUUAAUUAAA